GGUUAAAAAGCUCGUAGUUGGACUUGUGCGAAGGGUUCUUGGUCCGCCUUUUGGGUGAGUACUUUAGAAUAUCCGUCGUUUCUCUGGAGAACGUAUUGCUUAUGUGGUACGGUAUCCGGAGCAUUUACUUUGAGGAAAUUAGAGUGUUCACGCAGGCUUUUGCCCUGAAUAUGUUAGCAUGGAAUAAUGCGAAAAGGCCUCGGAUUUUCUUGUUGGUUUCAAAACCCGAGGUGAUGAUUAAAAUGAGCUGUUGGGGGCAUCUGUAUUUAACUGUCAGAGGUGAAAUUCUUGGAUUUGUUAAGGAUAGACUAGUGCGAAAGCAUUUGCCAAAGAUGUUUUUCUUGAUCAAGAACGAAAGUUGGGGGAUCGAAGGCGAUCAGAUACCGCCGUAGUCUCACUUACUAUAAACUAUGUCGCCUAGAGAUUGGCAGCAGUCAUCUCCUUGUCGUUGUCAGCACCUUAUGAGAAAUCAAAGUUUUUGGGUUCCGGGGGGAGUAUGGUCGCAAGUCUGAAACUUAAAGGAAUUGACGGAAGGGCACCACCAGGAGUGG
rnacentral:rRNA from 1 species